rnacentral:rRNA from 1 species
AUACGGAGGGUCCGAGCGUUAAUCGGAAUUACUGGGCGUAAAGCGCGCGUAGGUGGUUCAGUCAGUCAGAUGUGAAAGCCCCGGGCUCAACCUGGGAACUGCACCUGAUACUGCUGAGCUAGAGUACGGUAGAGGGCAGUGGAAUUUCCGGUGUAGCGGUGAAAUGCGUAGAGAUCGGAAGGAACACCAGUGGCGAAGGCGACUGCCUGGACUGAUACUGACACUGAGGUGCGAAAGCGUGGGUAGCAAACAGGAUUAGAUCCCCUGGUAGUCCACGCCGUAAACGAUGUCAACUAGCCGUUGGGGGACUUGAUCCUUUAGUGGCGAAGCUAACGCGAUAAGUUGACCGCCUGGGGAGUACGGCCGCAAGGUUAAAACUCAAAGGAAUUGACGGGG